CUCAAAACAGAAGAAGGGGGUGGGGCUCACUAUUUCUGCACAUGCGAUUGAUUGCGACUAAACCUCGUGGUUGAAAUUCAACUCUGUGGAGAAACUCCAACAUGGUGGCUUGUCCUUCCAGCCUAAGCGACUGAUGUCUCAACUCUUAAUUGACAACACAAACCAGCGAGAUUGAUGUGACCGACUGCUGAAUGUGCCAGCAGAUACACAGCACUAGAUUACUAACAGAAGCACUCAAAUAAACAAAUGUUUUUCACAUUUCAACUCUUAGUGACAACACAGCGAGACUGACUACUGCAUGCGUAUGUGGAGGUGCAAUACAAGCUCUAUAUAUCAUUAUAUGGACUGAACAGUGCAGUGUUGGAAGCAAGCACACGUUAGACAAGUCUUAACUCUGCAAGAGUGUACUGGAGCUAGGUUGUUUCCCAAGGGGUAGUCACUCCAAUGCCAUUGAAAUUUGUAAACAAGAGUCUCUACAGUAUGAUGGGAGUUCAAUGAAGUUUUGGAUAACACCUGCAUGUCUUGUUGUUAUUGUCUGUUGGUCACCACCUGGGCACUCCCCUGGACUCUGAGACAACCCUCAGUUGUGAGAAACUGAUGAAAUAAUAAAAUGGUCUGUUGCUUGCAAGUUCGUUUCCCGUUUCUAUGCUAUCAAGAUCGUGACAGAAAUGAAAGUAGUGUGACUGUCUCUUUUCCUUCGACUGAGCUCCGUACGUAUCAGGUGAAAUAAAUACAGAUAUUACACUUUGCCCGUUCACUGUCCAUUAGUGCAUGCAAAGUAAUGUCCCACUGCAAGGUAUCUAAGUUUGUUCAUCAUUGUUAGAAUAUUCCAUAGAGAAGAAACGCUCUCGAUGUUUCAAUGCUUAUACAUAAUUAUAUAUGAUUGAUUUUGAUGGGGUACACACUCAGAACAAGUGUUAUGGGCAAAGUGUAUGACUGUCAGCUAGGGUUCUAUCUGUUUUAUUGUUUGGGAGAAGGUAAAUUGAAUAUAAAGGAAGUUUGGAGAGGGUCCCCCUAUAGGGAACAUUUUUCAUAUGGAUUCUCAGAAUGAAAGCCUGAUGUCAUUUAUAUAGCUUUUGAAAUUAAGAAUUUGCAGAUAGUAAAGUAUCCUCUGUAUAAUGCCUAUAGGGGGUUCGAGAGCUGGAAUCCCCCUCCUGCAUGUUAGUAUAUAAUCUUUCCAUCAAAAUGGAAAACGUUGAAGACCAGAGCUAUAGUUGAAGAUGAUCGGUUUUUGAAAAAUUUCCACACGUGGUGGUAGCCUACAUUAAUAAGAGUUGCACCUUGCCAACCUCUGAGCCCUCCUAUACUUGUCUAAAAUUGCUACGCCUUGCACUAUUGCAUGUCUUAAAUCAGAUAGGAUACUGAGUGACAUUGGUGUGUUAACGUAACCCCAUGUUGUAAGGACAACAAUGGAGGAAUGCUAGAUCCAAUAAAGCCAAUGCUAUUGUGUGGUUAAUUAGCAAUUGUCCAGUUCAUUCUUAUGGCAACAGUAGGAGGACAAGUGCUGUGGUCGACUUCCCUCAUGACCCCUUUAAACAAUGCAACAAACUAAAACUUACCGGGGGAGUUCGUAGUAGCUGCUUGGAAGUUUUCUGAACGGGGGUGGUUGUUCUAAAAGUAUUUUCAUGGUAUAAAGGCAAAUAAAUCAAUAAUUCAGACAUUCGUGAUACUACAACUAUAUCCCUUUAGACUUCAAAAUCACGUAAAAACUUCCUAAACAGUGCCUACCAUAAUUAUAGCAGGUAAAUUUGGGGAGCCUAAUAUUUCGCAAAGAGGCAAUUCUUAUCUAUAUUAUUGGUGAUUUUUAAUUUGAUAAUCGUGCUGUGUGGUAUUAUUGACCUCAUGCGAUACUGUGGCUCAACCUGACUAAAAAUCAAGCAAAAAAAAACAUUGGUGCUAUUUUUAAUUUUGGCGCCCCUCACCUUUUGAAUUGGCAUAUUGCCAUGGUUACUAUAAAUUCUCACCCUGACGUUUAAUCUUGACUUCUGCUCAUCUCUGACUGAUUGCAGCUGAAAUUCAUUUGUCGCCAAAUGCAAAAAUUUCUGGUUUUGAUUAUAAUAUACAUUUAAAACUGGAACACUUUUGUGCUUGUCGUAUAAUAAAGCUGUGUUCUCAUUUUUACUGCAUUUACUAGUUUUUGGAGUUAUUAUUAUUGAAUUCUUAAAGCCCCCAGCCCACAAAUCGCGGCCGUUAUUCUGAAUUAAAGUAUACUUACAGAAAUGACAAAAUACAAUGUAUUACUUAAUUCAGUAAACAUAAGUUACGAAGUGAUUUUGAUUCUUGCUAUUCUUCGCAACCUUUCUGCUGUGUGUCAUGAGACUAGAUUCAGACAUGCAUCUUAAUUAUGUACGGCUAGUAGAAGGCAGGAUCUGUACAUUGUCACGUGUUAGUGUAGAUAUUGGCAAACACUGAAGCGCAGUUGAGAACUCAAACUCAUGGAUUUUUAUCGAGGUUACAUAACUUAUGAUGUACAUUUAAGUCAAGUGUUCAGUGGGUAUGCCUAUGAUUGGAAGCAGAUUAGUUUUUAGACGAUGCCUUUACACUCUUGAGUACCCAGUCUAUCCCAUCAUGCAUGUUGAGAUCAAAGUUAUUCAUGGCACAUUGUAUAUGUAUGUAUACUGCUCUCAAAUGCAUGCUGUAAGUACUGCAGUUGGUCUAAGUCUGG